GAGUACGGCCGCAAGGCUGAAACUUAAAGGAAUUGGCGGGGGAGCACUACAACGGGUGGAGCCUGCGGUUUAAUUGGACUCAACGCCGGAAAACUCACCGGGGGCGACAGCAAUAUGUAGGUCAGGUUAAAGGUCUUACCUGAAUCGCUGAGAGGAGGUGCAUGGCCGUCGUCAGUUCGUACUGUGAAGCAUCCUGUUAAGUCAGGCAACGAGCAAGACCCGUGCCCACUGUUACCAGCAUAUCCUUUAUGGAUGAUGGGGACUCUGUGGGGACCGCUGCUGCUAAAGCAGAGGAAGGUGCGGGCUACGGUAGGUCAGUAUGCCCCGAAUCUCCCGGGCUACACGCGGGCUACAAUGGUUGGGACAAUGGGUAUCUACUCCGAAAGGAGUUGGCAAUCUCUUAAACCCAAUCGUAGUUCGAAUUGAGGGCUGUAACUCGCCCUCAUGAAGCUGGAAUCCGUAGUAAUCGCGUUUCAACAUAGCGCGGUGAAUCUGUCCCUGCUCCUUGCACACACCGCCCGUCAAACCAUCCGAGUGAGGUAUGGGUGAGGGCACGAACUUAGUGUCGUGCUCGAACCUAAACUUCGCAAGGAGGGUUAAGUCGUAACAAGGUAGCCGUAGGGGAAUCUGCGGCUGGACCACCUCCU
rnacentral:rRNA from 1 species